UAAUAGGGAUGAUUAAAUUUCCUUUCUUCCACCUUUCCUUCAUCUAGACUGUAAUGGCUAAGAUUUCUCAGACUCAGUAGGUCUUAUGAGGUCUGAUUCCAAGUAAACAUUGGGAAAAAUCCUCUCUGGCAAGGAGGAGGAGAAAGGUGAAUCACUUGGUUCUGCUGUCCUUAUCCAGGCAAUGGUCAGACCCAGAGGAAGCACAGCAGCAGCUCCCAGCUGUCCAGAAAGAGCAACUCUUAAAAGCUGGGUGGACUUCGGAGCUUGGCUGGACAGGAGGUCAGAACACGAACUGUGAGUAACAGUGCUUCGGAAGAUGGACUGAAAGAUUCUUGCACUACUAAUGAAUUUCCAGGAAAACUGACUGUAAACUGCUAUCAAGAGGAACAGACUUCUCCCAGCCCCUGGCUCUGUGGCUGCUCAUCACGACCGAGGACACUGAGUGCAGGAGCCCAUCAGCCAGCUGUCACACACAGGGCAACGUUGCUCAUCCUAAAGCAUUUCUUAAAGACGAGGGGAAAACAGCAUGACAGCGAUUCAUUCACACAGAGCCAAUGUAACCCGGAAGUCUCCGCUUAUUUGCCACAAAAAUAAUUAAUUUAAAGCCAAAUGGGAAUGACUCAAAACAAAGAAAAAGAUCUCCAGAGAUUUUCCCCUCCCUCAGAGCAAGACACCUGCCUGUCCUUUCAGAUUGCUGCUCCGCUCUAAUGGCUGCAGCAGAUUUAUGCUAUUAAUUAG
ensembl:lncRNA